GGGACGUGAGGGACAGCGAGCGCCCUUCCGGGAAAGUCUGGCUGGGCUGUGCCUUGCCUGCCCUACGUCUACAGCCGGGGAGCCCGGCCAGGAGGGAGGAGGGGACUGCGGGGCUCCCCUCUAGCUGCUGGGGCUCGGGGGGGCUCCGGCAGCCUCUCG